rnacentral:tRNA from 1 species
GGAGUUGUAGCUCAGUGGUAGAGCUCUUGCCUUGCACGUGUGAGGCACUGGGUUCAAUUCUCAGCACCA